AUGUAAAGCAAUCUAUCCUUAAGUAGAGAUAAAUUACUCUACAAGAAAUGAAUCCUAGAUAGUUUUCCCUUCAAGUCAAAUGUCCCGC
rnacentral:pre_miRNA from 2 species